GAUGAACGCUAGCUACAGGCUUAACACAUGCAAGUCGAGGGACCGGCGCACGGGUGAGUAACACGUAUCCAACCUGCCCUUUAAUCGGGGAUAGCCUUUCGAAAGAAAGAUUAAUACCCGAUAUAAAGGAUGGGGAUGCGUUCCAUUAGCUAGUAGGUGGGGUAACGGCCCACCUAGGCGACGAUCCCUAGCUGGUCGGAGAGGAUGACCAGCCACACUGGAACGUAGACACUGUCCAAACUCCUACGGGAGGCAGCAGGGAGGAAUAUUGGUCAAUGGGCGCGAGCCUGAACCAGCCAAGUAGCGUGAAGGAUGAAGGCUUAUGGGUCGUAAACUUCUUUUAUAUAAGAAUAUGUAUUAUAUGAAUAAGGAUCGGCUAACUCCGUGCCAGCAGCCGCGGUAAUAC
rnacentral:rRNA from 1 species